rnacentral:pre_miRNA from 12 species
CAUGCGACUACAAAACAGUUGAUUUCUGGGGUGCAUUGUAGUUGCAUUGCAUGUUGUCAUGAAACUAUGCAAUACUUCUAUAGUGCAACACCAGCGAUCAACAACUACAGCUUAUCAAGC